AGAGUUUGAUCCUGGCUCAGAUUGAACGCUGGCGGCAUGCCUUACACAUGCAAGUCGAACGGCAGCAUGAUCUAGCUUGCUAGAUUGAUGGCGAGUGGCGAACGGGUGAGUAAUACAUCGGAACGUGCCCUGUAGUGGGGGAUAACUAGUCGAAAGAUUAGCUAAUACCGCAUACGACCUGAGGGUGAAAGUGGGGGACCGCAAGGCCUCAUGCUAUAGGAGCGGCCGAUGUCUGAUUAGCUAGUUGGUGAGGUAAAGGCUCACCAAGGCGACGAUCAGUAGCUGGUCUGAGAGGACGAUCAGCCACACUGGGACUGAGACACGGCCCAGACUCCUACGGGAGGCAGCAGUGGGGAAUUUUGGACAAUGGGGGCAACCCUGAUCCAGCAAUGCCGCGUGUGUGAAGAAGGCCUUCGGGUUGUAAAGCACUUUUGUCCGGAAAGAAAUNGCNCUNNNUAAUANNNGGNGUNGAUGACGGUACCGGAAGAAUAAGGACCGGCUAACUACGUGCCAGCAGCCGCGGUAAUACGUAGGGUCCAAGCGUUAAUCGGAAUUACUGGGCGUAAAGCGUGCGCAGGCGGUUGUGCAAGACCGAUGUGAAAUCCCCGNGCUUAACNUGGGAAUUGCAUUGGUGACUGCACGGCUAGAGUGUGUCAGAGGGGGGUAGAAUUCCACGUGUAGCAGUGAAAUGCGUAGAGAUGUGGAGGAAUACCGAUGGCGAAGGCAGCCCCCUGGGAUAACACUGACGCUCAUGCACGAAAGCGUGGGGAGCAAACAGGAUUAGAUACCCUGGUAGUCCACGCCCUAAACGAUGUCAACUAGUUGUUGGGGAUUCAUUUCCUUAGUAACGUAGCUAACGCGUGAAGUUGACCGCCUGGGGAGUACGGUCGCAAGAUUAAAACUCAAAGGAAUUGACGGGGACCCGCACAAGCGGUGGAUGAUGU
rnacentral:rRNA from 1 species